CUUUGGGUAAGUCAUGGGUCUUCUUUGAACUGCAGUUUCCUCCUUUGUAAAAUGGCCAAGGAGUCGGGUCUUUACUUCACAGGGUUCUUUGGUGGGUUAAUGAGAGAGCAGCGAAGCCAAUCACCUACCCUGCCCUGAGCACUAAGGAGGAGCUAAGCCCUUUAUGUUCCUUACCUCAGUUGCACCCCCAGUACAGCAUCCCCACCCUGCAAAU
rnacentral:lncRNA from 10 species